rnacentral:rRNA from 1 species
GUGGGGAAUAUUGGACAAUGGGCGAAAGCCUGAUCCAGCCAUGCCGCGUGUGUGAAGAAGGUCUUCGGAUUGUAAAGCACUUUAAGUUGGGAGGAAGGGCAGUAAGUUAAUACCUUGCUGUUUUGACGUUACCGACAGAAUAAGCACCGGCUAACUUCGUGCCAGCAGCCGCGGUAAUACGAAGGGUGCAAGCGUUAAUCGGAAUUACUGGGCGUCAAGCGCGCGUAGGUGGUUUUGUAAGUUGGAGGUGAAAUCCCCGGGCUCAACCUGGGAACUGCCUCCAAAACUGGAUGACUAGAGUAUGGUAGAGGGUAGUGGAAUUUCCUGUGUAGCGGUGAAAUGCGUAGAUAUAGGAAGGAACACCAGUGGCGAAGGCGACUACCUGGACUGAUACUGACACUGAGGUGCGAAAGCGUGGGGAGCAAACAGGAUUAGAUACCCGAGUAGUCC